rnacentral:sRNA from 1 species
GUACAGCGUUAAGGAUUGAAACGGAAAUCCUUUUUGAGCCUUGUGGAGUUAGGCUAUUCAGGCUCAAAAAGAUUGCAGUGUAAAGCCUGACCGCAG